rnacentral:rRNA from 1 species
AAACUUUCAACAACGGAUCUCUUGGCUCUCGCAUCGAUGAAGAGCGCAGCGAAAUGCGAUAAGUAGUGUGAAUUGCAGAACUUUGUGAACCAUCGAAUCUUUGAACGCAAAUUGCGCCUUCUUUCGGAAGGCAUGUCUGUUUGAGGGCACCAUU